GGGUAGAAUUCCAGGUGUAGCGGUGAAAUGCGUAGAGAUCUGGAGGAAUACCGGUGGCGAAGGCGGCCCCCUGGACGAAGACUGACGCUCAGGUGCGAAAGCGUGGGGAGCAAACAGGAUUAGAUACCCUGGUAGUCCACGCCGUAAACGAUGUCGACUUGGAGGUUGUGCCCUUGAGGCGUGGCUUCCGGAGCUAACGCGUUAAGUCGACCGCCUGGGGAGUACGGCCGCAAGGUUAAAACUCAAAUGAAUUGACGGGGGCCCGCACAAGCGGGGGAGCAUGUGGUUUAAUUCGAUGCAACGCGAAGAACCUUACCUGGUCUU
rnacentral:rRNA from 1 species